rnacentral:sRNA from 1 species
AAAAAACAGUAAAAGUAAAAAGCAGUCUCAAUUGUCCUUUGCAGCCCCGCACUUGUAGCUAGGAGUCUAGCACAGCUGGAGAAGCUCAGCUAGGGGCUGAUUGUCUGCACAAGCCAGUAUCAAAGGCAGCAGUUUCUCCACUUCUAUGGACAUUUAAGAGUUCAUACUGGAUUGCCUGGACCCCUUAGUGAGGGCAAUGCUACAGCAGAUUUGUAUACCAUGCAGGUUACACAUUUUACAUAGGAGCAGUUAUCCAGGAUGAUGAAGGAACAUGGUACCUGCCAGAGAGAAUGGUGAGACAUGUUGAAGCUGGAACAAAGAAUGAUGCUGACUGCAAUCUUGACAAGUGCCCUGACAAUGAUGAUGAGAAGCUGUAUUGGACAUAUGUUCCUGACUCACCUUUGCUUGUCUACAUCCCAGAUUGGACAAGCCGACUUGCUACAAGCUUUUAGACCUUGUGGGACAGAGAAUAUAGAGACUGGAAAUUGCCAUUGAAAAAGUAAUCAAAUAGGAAGUUAUAAUGACUCUUUCCUUUAAUGUGACAUUGUCCCGCGCUACGUCU